rnacentral:rRNA from 1 species
UUUGCAUUUUUCAAUUAUUUUCUCCCCUGAGUU